UCAUAGAUUGCCAUUUAUUUUAAACUUGUAUGAAAUUGUGAAUCUUUCGGCCAUUUUUUACAAGGUAAAGAACAGAGCUAUGGAUAAGCCAAUACAUGGGAAAGCAGCUGGUUGGAUUUUAAGUCAUUCCUUGCAGAAACAGAAUUCGCCUCCAUUCUGAUGGCGAAUGCUGCUAAUGGGGCUUGUCAGCCCUUUAAGGAAACAUAGCUUGGUCUCCUCAAGAAGCUUUCAUUGAUCUGUUGAAGGAUUCUGAGUUGGCACAUCUGAAAAGCUUGAGUGGUAACCCUCGUACCAAUUCAUCAGGAGCCUCCCUAUAGGAUGCAUAUCUUCUGAUCUAAAGGGAAGGUGCUGUAACAAGAUUUGCUGCCCCAACAUUGAAUGGUACUGGCAUUACCAGAUUGUCUACUUUGAGAUUGAUCAUAUUCUAAUUGGAUGCUAAGUUGUCAAAAUUUGCUCAAAUUCUCAGAAAAUACUUGUCUAUGCCUAUGUUAUGUAUGCCUCAAUACAGUAUACACCAUUAUGCUGGCUUCAGUUCUAUGUUAGGGAUGUCUCAGUGCAGUAUACACGAUUAUUGCUACAUGUAAAAGUCAAUGAGUAUUACAAUUUAACACAUUGUAACGUAUAUGAUCUUGCACAAUCUAUUUUGAGCUUUGG